GAGGGUAUAACUCAGUGGUAGAGGGUGUGCUUAGCAAGCAGAGGUCCUGGGUUCAGUUCCCAGUACCUCCU
rnacentral:tRNA from 1 species